rnacentral:rRNA from 1 species
CCUACGAGAGGCAGCAGUGAGGAAUAUUGGUCAAUGGCCGCGAGCCUGAACCAGCCAAGUCGCGUGAAGGAUGAAUGCCCUACGGGUUGUAAACUUCUUUUAUAAAGGAAUAAACUGAGGCACGCGUGCCUUUCUGUAUGUACUUUAUGAAUAAGGAUCGGCUAACUCCGUGCCAGCAGCCGCGGUAAUACGGAGGUUCCGAGCGUUAUCCGGAUUUAUUGGGUUUAAAGGGGGCGUAGAUGGGUUGUUAAGUCAGGUGUGAAAGUUUGCGGCUCAACCGUAAAAUUGCAGUUGAUACUGGCAGCCUGGAGUAGAGUAGAGGUAGGAGGAAUGCGUGGUGUAGCGGUGAAAUGCUUAGAUAUCGCGAAGAACUCCGAUUGCGAAGGCAGCCUACUAAACGGCAACUGACAUUGAUGCUCGAAAGUGUGGGUAUCGAACAGGAUUAGAUACCCUGGUAGUC